rnacentral:lncRNA from 1 species
CUGUGGACCAGACUUUUUCUGAUGAGGAAGAUGAGCAACCGAGCCGGAAGCGCAGGCAGCUUCACACCCUGAGCCCAGAACCUCCUGAGCAGGAAUAAAAGCAGCUUUAGGUCCUGAGGUCAUCACAGUGUGUCUUCACACUGACAGUAAUGAAGCCGUGGAGACGUACUCAGGGUCUUUACGUGACCAUACUACCUUUGACUUCUGGACCUUCCUGCUGUCUUUUAUGAUUUUGAUGAUACCUAAACGCCUGCUGAAGACCACGGGUGGCCUCCUGGAUAAUCCCACAACACGCGCUUGCAGGUUUAAUAAUCCCCACAGGAAUGUCACACUGUCUCCUCUAUACAUCCCAUAAAUAAGGCAUGUUAUAAAGGGAAGACCCGAUCAGUUUCUAAGAAACAUUUACAGAUAAGUGCAUGAUAAUGUACGAUGGAGGAUGAGACCAAGUUUAGGAAACUACACUGAAUAUUUCUGUCAGUGGUUCCACUCAGAAUAUUAUAGCAUGCAGAAUAUUCUAAAUUUGGCCUAUUUGUGCUGUUUCCUUAUUACAUUUGUCUAAUUUAAAAGACAUUUUAAAUGUUUUAUUCUGUCAAUCAGUUGAUUCAAGAAUUUUUAUUUGAUUUUAUAUAUAACACAUGGAAAGAAGAGGAAAUGAUAUUUUAAUCUGAAAUAAUUGUGAAAUAUUGUAAAUGUUUUCUGGGUUCAUAUCUAUUGUGAGAUAUCUUACAAGACGAGGCAUGUUAACUUCAACCUGACUUGAAUAAGCAUUUAACUCUUUGUUUUUAACCAUAUGCAUUUCCCAAGAGACACACAUGUAGAGGAACAUCCAAUUUGUGAAUAAAAUUAUUCAGAUUAUUUAAGAUGCAAACCAUGAUGUGUCAUGGAGUUUACACGGGACAUGUUUCUGUCAUGAGAGGUUUUAUACUGUACAGUGAAAACAUGUCAACAUAAAGAGGUUUUCAUUGUAGUGGUGUACACUAAGAAUAAGUUGUUAGCAUGAAGAAUCGUGAUCCUAAUAAGAAUGUAAUACUUCAGAAUGAUUAUUAAUA